rnacentral:misc_RNA from 1 species
GCUUUAGUGGAGCCGGUGGCUUGACAAAGAGAGUACGGGAAGAAUUCAUUCCUAUGCGUCCGCAGCUAAUGAAUCUGAUGCCAUUGAUUCUGUUGUAAUGCUAGCGAAAGGCUUUAAAAAAAUACCUGGCUCAAGCCUCAAGGGAAUGGGAAUAAACUGGCUUUCUUCUCCUAGUUGGCUAUGGGGCAUGGGAGAGAGAGUGAUUA